rnacentral:tRNA from 1 species
GUCAUUAGCGUAGUCGGUAGAGCAGUUGACUUUUAAUCAAUUGGUCGCAGGUUUGAGCCGAGCGAAGCGAGACAACA